rnacentral:sRNA from 1 species
UCACCGAAACAACCAUGCCCAGUGAGCACU